rnacentral:lncRNA from 1 species
GUUUUCAAAAAAUUCAGAAUCAUGGAGCUUAGAUGACGUCCUUGCGGGAAUGGAUAUCUAAUCAGGAAGGUAACAAACAAAAGGCCCUAACAUGACUCGUCCAUAUUACUAAUGCCCUGGUUCUGACAUGGCAAAGGGAGAUUAUGGUUGUGGACCGCCUUCAAGUUCCACUCCCCCGGCACAACCUUCCAGCCGAAGUUCUCAGUCUCCUUACAUGUACCAAGAAGCAAUGCGAUGAGGAAGCAUGAACUACUUGUACGAAGUCUCGAAGUGGCUCAAGCAAGUUCUGCGGCCUAUCUGGAUCUUAUUAAAGAAUUUGCAGACUGUGGACUAGAAGACUAGAUCAUAGUUUAUUUGUUUGAGUUGGUUUUCUCUCUUUGUCAGUCUAGGGAAGUUUGUGGGUGCUCUUUUUGUUUGAGUUGUGCUUGAGUCACUCUCCCUUGGUUUAUUUUGUCGAGUCCAGUUCUGUGUUUGUUGGUUGUUAUGUUAGAGUUAUGUGGACAUUGAUUUGAGUAUUUCAAACUGUUUAGGACAUUGCUAAUAUUUAUGUCUUUUGGAACUUAAUAUGAUUAU